UACGUAGGGUGCAAGCGUUAAUCGGAAUUACUGGGCGUAAAGCGUGCGCAGGCGGUGAUGUAAGACAGAUGUGAAAUCCCCGGGCUCAACCUGGGAACUGCAUUUGUGACUGCAUCGCUGGAGUGCGGCAGAGGGGGGUAGAAUUCCACGUGUAGCAGUGAAAUGCGUAGAGAUGUGGAGGAACACCGAUGGCGAAGGCAGCCCCCUGGGUCAAGAUUGACGCUCAUGCACGAAAGCGUGGGGAGCAAACGAGG
rnacentral:rRNA from 1 species